rnacentral:rRNA from 1 species
UACGUAGGGGGCAAGCGUUAUCCGGAUUUACUGGGUGUAAAGGGAGCGUAGACGGAAUUGCAAGUCUGAUGUGAAAAUCCGGGGCCCAACCCCGGAACUGCAUUGGAAACUGUAUUUCUAGAGUGUCGGAGAGGCAAGUGGAAUUCCUGGUGUAGCGGUGAAAUGCGUAGAUAUCAGGAGGAACACCAGUGGCGAAGGCGGCUUGCUGAACGAUGACUGACGUUGAGGCUCGAAAGCGUGGGGAGCAAACAGG